rnacentral:rRNA from 1 species
GACGAACGCUGGCGGCGUGCCUAAUACAUGCAAGUCGAGCGGAGCGGCGGACGGGUGAGUAAUGCCUAGGAAUCUGCCUGGUAGUGGGGGAUAACGUCCGGAAACGGGCGCUAAUACCGCAUACUAUCAGAUGAGCCUAGGUCGGAUUAGCUAGUUGGUGGGGUAAAGGCCUACCAAGGCGACGAUCCGUAACUGGUCUGAGAGGAUGAUCAGUCACACUGUGACUGAGACACGGUCCAGACGCCUAAGGGAGGCAGCAGUGGGGAAUAUUGGACACUGGGCGAAAGCCUGAACCAGCCAUGCCGCGUGUGUGAAGAAGGUCUUCGGAUUGUAAAGCACUUUAAGUUGGGACGCGUUCCCAACAGAAUAAGCACCAGCUAACUGCGUAACAGCAGCCGUGGUAAUAC